rnacentral:rRNA from 1 species
CACGGGGGGAGCAAGCGUUGUUCGGAAUCACUGGGCGUAAAGGGCGCGUAGGCGGCCUUCUAAGUCGAACGUGAAAUCCCUGGGCUCAACCCAGGAACUGCGUCCGAUACUGGAAGGCUUGAAUCCGGGAGAGGGAUGCGGAAUUCCAGGUGUAGCGGUGAAAUGCGUAGAUAUCUGGAGGAACACCGGUGGCGAAGGCGGCAUCCUGGACCGGUAUUGACGCUGAGGCGCGAAAGCCAGGGGAGCAAACGGG